rnacentral:lncRNA from 1 species
AGCCAUUGGAGAUUACUGUGUUGACUACAUCUCGAACCGUAUCGAAAAACGUUCAGGAAUACUAAAAUUCGGGAAAGGCAAAAUUUCGGAUCGGUUUCGGUUGCUGAAAUCUCAUCCCGAACUUUUUUAGUUUGGUAUUUGGUAUAUAGCUUUUGGUUCGAUAUCCCAUACUGAACCACCCUAUACACUGUAAUCAAAUGUAAAAAAACUGAACCAAGAAAUGGACACUGCAUUUAUAGUGUCUGAAUCUAAAUGUAAAAAACAGAGCCAGGAAAUGGACACUACAUUAUAGUGUCUGAAUCUAAAUGUAAAAAUUAGAAGUCGCAUGAGGUGUGAAGUGUAAGAGACGUGUGAGUGAUGGCAAAAAUAGAACUAGGAGUUUGAAUGCAAAAGUGAAAAACAGAACCAGAAAACGGACACUACAAUGUAAUGUCUGAAUCCAAAUGUACAAAUGACAUGUAAGAGGCGUGUGAGUGAUGGAAAAAACAGAAUCAAGAAACUGACACUGCAUUGCAAUGUCUGAUUCGUAUUGACUUAUUCCAAAUAUAAAACUAUGAGAAAGGGAGUGUUAGUUGAAGUGGAUGUCAGCUGUAAUGGUAGAUUUUGUCAUUUUUGUUUAUUUUAAAUGCAUUUAAGUAUCACAAUACAUGAUUGACCUAUUUAUAAUUAACAUAAAUAUUAUUGAUCUAUUAUUAAUAUUGUAACUUUUUAUUGAUUUUUCACAAAAUCACCCUAUAACAAAAUCUAAACUAAUUGAAGCUGAUAAUGUGUCCACAACGAAGCGCGGGUACAAACAUGACAUAAGGUAAGCGUAGUAUAGACAUAUGGGUAAGGCGUCGAUUGACAAUAGGCAAAGGCUUGAAUGCUAGAGGAGUUCCACACCAGAGCCACUGUCAUCGCCGCCGCUGCGCCAUGAACCCAUAACCUGCAUAAUUUGUUAGCACUAGAAGUCGUCAAAGGUAUCCUCCAUAUGGGAGCAGAAGAUGAGAUUUUAGAACACUAGAGUUGUGUGGGUUGCAAGUUGAUAAGGGCAGUAAAUAAUGGCAAGAAAAGAGGGACCCACACCAUAAUCAUUAAUGACGCUGCAACGAUGUUGUUUCCGCCACCACCACAUGACUAAAAACCAUUGGACUGAGCCAUAACAUGCAAAUGGAAAGCCAGGGAAGCCCUAGUUACCUAAAAGGGAGUCGCAAAGGCUUUAGAUUUACUAUAGAACUGCCACAGACACUCAGACAACCACUUUCAUGAAACACGACCAACACGCUUAAUAGUUCAGACCAUAAAAUUAGGCUAAAAUCAUUAGGAUAAAUCAUGGCUUGAUUAAACCAAACUAGAAAGAGAUGUUGGAUAAGUUGUUAUGAGAAGAGAAAAUGGAAGCGAGGUGAGGCAUGGGGGCAAGUUGGCAAAUGGGUGAGAUGGAAGAGAAGGAAAUAAAGGGUGGAUGGGGAGGGAGGACGACAAAAUGAGGAGAUGAGGAUGUUUUUAAGGAAGGAGAAAGUGUUUGCAGCCCACCCCAUGUGGUACCUAGGGCCAUCAGUUGUGAAAUUCUAGACCUAGGGCUUUUUCUUGGAGGAGAAGAGAGGGUCGCAGCUUAGGCUUAAAGAGAGAUUGUGUGGGUAAAUAUAUAUUAUUUAAUGGUAAAGUUCAUGUUUAAUAAGAAAGUGUUUUCAAAUAAUGGAUAGUUUGAUCGCUAUUUAGGAUUAUAUUCUUCUUAAUUUGUAAGUGAGAUUUUAGAUCUAUCACUCAUGGAUAAUGAGUUUAAUAUCAAAUCAUUAUGUUGCCUAUUGUGUGGCACCCAUAAUGUAAAUAUAAUGUAACAUCAAUCAGAAAAAAAAAAAAAAAAAAAAAGAAGUUAGCAUCACUAGUGCAAAAGACUUGAAGCUCAAGUAGUUAAACACAUUAUGAAUAGUUUAUGGACUUAAUUAAUAGAAACUAGUGGAAAGUUGUACAAAGCCGCCAAGAGGAGCGGCACUUCCAUGCAGAAAAAAGGAGAUGAUUGCGAGGGUUGACAAUGAUAUUUGUCAGAAUCAACCCAUGAAUGAUGGUUAUGGGGUGAUGGGGGUUGAUUGGGUGUGUAUGAUUGAAUCCUUGUUGGAUUGCCUACAGAUCUCUAGGAAUGGAGAAACAAAUCAAAGUGUAGUUUUAGAGAAUGAGUGGUAUGAUGUGUGCUACAUUGUGAACCAUCCUUGGUGAAUUAGCAUACAUCAGGGCGUGCAAGAGAGAUAAAUGUUCAU